CCGAUAGUGAACCAGUACCGUGAGGGAAAGGCGAAAAGAACCCCUGUGAGGGGAGUGAAAUAGAACCUGAAACCGUGUACGUACAAGCAGUAGGAGCAGGCUUUGUCCUGUGACUGCGUACCUUUUGUAUAAUGGGUCAGCGACUUAUAUUCAGUGGCAAGGUUAACCAUCUAGGGGAGCCGUAGGGAAACCGAGUCUUAACUGGGCGUUCAGUCUCUGGAUAUAGACCCGAAACCAGGUGAUCUAGCCAUGGGCAGGUUGAAGGUUGAGUAACAUCAACUGGAGGACCGAACCGACUAAUGUUGAAAAAUUAGCGGAUGACUUGUGGCUAGGGGUGAAAGGCCAAUCAAACCUGGAGAUAGCUGGUUCUCCCCGAAAGCUAUUUAGGUAGCGCCUCGGACGAAUACUACUGGGGGUAGAGCACUGUUAAGGCUAGGGGGUCAUCCCGACUUACCAACCCUUUGCAAACUCCGAAUACCAGUAAGUACUAUCCGGGAGACACACGGCGGGUGCUAACGUCCGUCGUGGAGAGGGAAACAACCCAGACCGCCAGCUAAGGUCCCAAAUUACUACUAAGUGGGAAACGAUGUGGGAAGGCUCAGACAGCCAGGAUGUUGGCUUAGAAGCAGCCAUCAUUUAAAGAAAGCGUAAUAGCUCACUGGUCGAGUCGGCCUGCGCGGAAGAUGUAAC
rnacentral:rRNA from 1 species